rnacentral:misc_RNA from 1 species
UAGGCUUUUGAUCAUCUCCACUGAAGUUUUCAGAGGGCUCAACAUAGUUGCUUGUUUCUCCAUGGUAGUAGUUCACAGGAAGGGAAGCAUUUUCAGAUGAAACUCCACCAUCAAAAUUCUGGUCAAGCUCAUUUGUUUCCUCAUAUAUAUCAUCACCAAGCACCACUUCAUCAGCCACCACCAUUUCCUCACCUGGUAACAACACACCCACCACUUCAUCAUCAUCCCAUUCCUCCUCAACAAAUGGUGCCCCAUAUUGCUCCCCAUUCUUUGGCCCUGUUCCACUCUUUUGGAAUAUCCUACACAGCACAAAUGCAUCUUGAACAAUUCCAGCUUUCUCCAAAUCCUCAUCAGCAAGGCGGUUGCAUUACCCAAUUGGUACGCUCACCACGUGGAGCCCGUCCAAGAUGGUACACAAGGGUCUUCUUCAUCCCCACAGUUCGCAAGUUCCAGCGCACAGGGCGGUCCUUCCCAGUUGUCUUCCAGUAUCCUUUCUCUGUGGCCCGGUUUGUCUUGGAACCAUUGCCAUACUUCUUAUCCAGCAUACUAAAAAAGUACCACUCUAAAUCCCUGCUCUUCAACUU